rnacentral:rRNA from 1 species
GGUCAAGUGAAGAAGCGCAUACGGUGGAUGCCUUGGCAGUCAGAGGCGAUGAAAGACGUGGUAGCCUGCGAAAAGCUUCGGGGAGUCGGCAAACAGACUUUGAUCCGGAGAUCUCUGAAUGGGGGAACCCACCUAGGAUAACCUAGGUAUCUUGUACUGAAUCCAUAGGUGCAAGAGGCGAACCAGGGGAACUGAAACAUCUAAGUACCCUGAGGAAAAGAAAUCAACCGAGAUUCCCUUAGUAGUGGCGAGCGAACGGGGAUUAGCCCUUAAGCUUCAUUGAUUUUAGCGGAACGCUCUGGAAAGUGCGGCCAUAGUGGGUGAUAGCCCCGUACGCGAAAGGAUCUUUGAAGUGAAAUCGAGUAGGACGGAGCACGAGAAACUUUGUCUGAACAUGGGGGGACCAUCCUCCAAGGCUAAAUACUACUGACUGACCGAUAGUGAACCAGUACCGUGAGGGAAAGGCGAAAAGAACCCCGGAGAGGGGAGUGAAAUAGAACCUGAAACCGUAUGCGUACAAGCAGUGGGAGCCUACUUGUUAGGUGACUGCGUACCUUUUGUAUAAUGGGUCAGCGACUUAUAUUCAGUGGCAAGCUUAACCGUAUAGGGUAGGCGUAGCGAAAGCGAGUCUUAAUAGGGCGUUUAGUCGCUGGGUAUAGACCCGAAACCGGGCGAUCUAUCCAUGAGCAGGUUGAAGGUUAGGUAACACUGACUGGAGGACCGAACCCACUCCCGUUGAAAAGGUAGGGGAUGACUUGUGGAUCGGAGUGAAAGGCUAAUCAAGCUCGGAGAUAGCUGGUUCUCCUCGAAAGCUAUUUAGGUAGCGCCUCAUGUAUCACUCUGGGGGGUAGAGCACUGUUUCGGCUAGGGGGUCAUCCCGACUUACCAAACCGAUGCAAACUCCGAAUACCCAGAAGUGCCGAGCAUGGGAGACACACGGCGGGUGCUAACGUCCGUCGUGAAAAGGGAAACAACCCAGACCGCCAGCUAAGGUCCCAAAGUUGUGGUUAAGUGGUAAACGAUGUGGGAAGGCUUAGACAGCUAGGAGGUUGGCUUAGAAGCAGCCACCCUUUAAAGAAAGCGUAAUAGCUCACUAGUCGAGUCGGCCUGCGCGGAAGAUGUAACGGGGCUCAAACCACACACCGAAGCUGCGGGUGUCACGUAAGUGACGCGGUAGAGGAGCGUUCUGUAAGCCUGUGAAGGUGAGUUGAGAAGCUUGCUGGAGGUAUCAGAAGUGCGAAUGCUGACAUGAGUAACGACAAUGGGUGUGAAAAACACCCACGCCGAAAGACCAAGGGUUCCUGCGCAACGUUAAUCGACGCAGGGUUAGUCGGUUCCUAAGGCGAGGCUGAAAAGCGUAGUCGAUGGGAAACAGGUUAAUAUUCCUGUACUUCUGGUUACUGCGAUGGAGGGACGGAGAAGGCUAGGCCAGCUUGGCGUUGGUUGUCCAAGUUUAAGGUGGUAGGCUGAAAUCUUAGGUAAAUCCGGGGUUUCAAGGCCGAGAGCUGAUGACGAGUCGUCUUUUAGAUGACGAAGUGGUUGAUGCCAUGCUUCCAAGAAAAGCUUCUAAGCUUCAGGUAACCAGGAACCGUACCCCAAACCGACACAGGUGGUCGGGUAGAGAAUACCAAGGCGCUUGAGAGAACUCGGGUGAAGGAACUAGGCAAAAUGGCACCGUAACUUCGGGAGAAGGUGCGCCGGCUAGGGUGAAGGAUUUACUCCGUAAGCUCUGGCUGGUCGAAGAUACCAGGCCGCUGCGACUGUUUAUUAAAAACACAGCACUCUGCAAACACGAAAGUGGACGUAUAGGGU